rnacentral:rRNA from 1 species
AAACCGGAGCUAAUACCGGAUAAUCCCUUUUUCCACCUGGAGAGAGGGUGAAAGAUGGCUUCGGCUAUCACUAGGGGAUGGGCCCGCGGCGCAUUAGCUAGUUGGUAAGGUAACGGCUUACCAAGGCAACGAUGCGUAGCCGACCUGAGAGGGUGAUCGGCCACACUGGGACUGAGACACGGCCCAGACUCCUACGGGAGGCAGCAGUAGGGAAUCUUCCGCAAUGGACGAAAGUCUGACGGAGCAACGCCGCGU